rnacentral:rRNA from 1 species
UACAGAGGUCCCAAGCGUUGUUCGGAAUUACUGGGCGUAAAGGGCCCGUAGGUGGCCAACUAAGUCAGACGUGAAAUCCCUCGGCUUAACCGGGGAACUGCGUCUGAUACUGGAAGGCUUGAGUAUGGGAGAGGGAUGUAGAAUUCCAGGUGUAGCGGUGAAAUGCGUAGAUAUCUGGAGGAAUACCGGUGGCGAAGGCGGCAUCCUGGACCAUUACUGACGCUGAGGCGCGAAAGCUAGGGGAGCAAACGGG